rnacentral:rRNA from 1 species
CCUACGGGAGGCAGCAGUGGGGAAUCUUGGACAAUGGGCGCAAGCCUGAUCCAGCCAUGCCGCGUGUGUGAUGAAGGCCUUAGGGUCGUAAAGCACUUUCGCUAGAGAUGAUAAUGACAGUAUCUAGUAAAGAAGUCCCGGCUAACUCCGUGCCAGCAGCCGCGGUAAU